GCCUUCGUGGUGCAGUGGUAAGCACGCUGGGCGCGUAUUCCAAAGGUACAAAUAUUCGUGGUUUGAGUCCCGGCGAGGGUA
rnacentral:tRNA from 1 species